UGGGCUUGACAUGCCAGGAUUAUCCUUAUGAAAGUAAGGUAGGCCCCGCAAGGGGUACAACUGGUACAGGUGCUGCAUGGCUGUCGUCAGCUCGUGUCGUGAGAUGUCGGGUUAAGUCCCUUAACGAGCGAAACCUUUGCCCUUAGUUACUAACAGGUAAUGCUGAGGACUCUAAGGGGACUGCCGGUGUCAAACCGGAGGAAGGUGGAGAUGACGUCAAGUCCUCAUGGCCUUUAUGCCCAGGGCCACACACGUGCUACAAUGCGGCGCACAAAGCGAACCAAGACCGCAAGGUGGAGGAAAUCGCAAAAAUCGCCGCCCAGUUCAGAUAGGAGGCUGCAACUCGCCUCCUUGAAGUUGGAAUCGCUAGUAAUCGCGGAUCAGCUACGCCGCGGUGAAUGUGUUCCUGAGCC
rnacentral:rRNA from 1 species